GGGGCUGUGGCUCAGUGGGAAAAUAUCUGCUUGGCGUGCAAAAGUCCCCAGGUUCAAUCCAUGGCACCUCCA
rnacentral:tRNA from 1 species